GCACUACUGACCGGUUCCAAACAGGACGAAACAGCUGUCCAGUGC
rnacentral:hammerhead_ribozyme from 1 species